rnacentral:misc_RNA from 1 species
GUGAAUCAUCGAAUCUUUGAACGCAAAUUGCGCUUUCUGGUAUCCCGGGAAGCAUGCCUGUUUGAGGGUCAGUAUUAACAAAAAAUCGGUUUUGUUGCAAAUUGUGACGUUUCCCGGAUGUGGGCAUAUCUUAACUUUGUUGGUUAGGGGGCUUAAAAUUGACCUUUAUUGUGCAUUUUUAGUCGUACAUAAAUUUUUUUGUAUUCGUCUAUUCUUAAUACCAAAAUCUUAUUA